GGUGGCAUCCCUUGUUGGGACAGAAGCAGCACGGUGUGCAGCCGAUGCUCAGGCCGGGCAGGAGUCUCCGUGGGUGACAGAGCAUGUGGGUGGCUACGGGCUGGCUCCAGUCUCUCUCUCAGCCUGUGCUGUGUGACAUCGUGACACUGUAGAGUCAUCCGGAACAUUGGAAACGAGCGCAGCACUACAGGAGCCUGAGGCAAACGAUCACAUCAGGACGUGAUGGGAGUCAGAUAAAACACCCAGAAGUGGAGUGUAAGGUGAAGAGGCUGUGCUUACAAGCGCCAUGGAACUGUUGAACAGGCGCUGUUUGAGGAGAGCACAGUUGAGGAGCGAGGGCUGCAUGUGUCCACACGCAUCUCUGCAGUUUCUGCUUCUGCUUCGGUGAUCUUGGGAAAGUCACUUGACUUCCCCAAGCCUUAGUUUCCCCAUUUAUAAAAUAGGAAUGACAAUGAAAGUCUAAUGACAUAGUGGACUUGAAAGCACAUGGUAAAUUGUAAAGUAAUGCCAGUGGUGAAAAAAUGUUAUAUCAUUCAUGUUUUAAUAAAUGCUAAAAAUGACGAAA